GAUGAACGCUGGCGGCGUGCCUAAUACAUGCAAGUCGAGCGAACGGACGAGGAGCUUGCUCCUCUGACGUUAGCGGCGGACGGGUGAGUAACACGUGGAUAACCUACCUAUAAGACUGGGAUAACUUCGGGAAACCGGAGCUAAUACCGGAUAAUAUAUUGAACCGCAUGGUUCAAUAGUUAAAGACGGUUUUGCUGUCACUUAUAGAUGGAUCCGCGCCGCAUUAGCUAGUUGGUAAGGUAACGGCUUACCAAGGCAACGAUGCGUAGCCGACCUGAGGGGGUGAUCGGCCACACUGGAACUGAGACACGGUCCAGACUCCUACGGGAGGCAGCAGUAGGGAAUCUUCCGCAAUGGGCGAAAGCUUGACGGAGCAACGCCGCGUGAGUGAUGAAGGUCUUCGGAUCGUAAAACUCUGUUAUUAGGGAAGAACAAAUGUGUAAGUAACUAUGCACGUCUUGACGGUACCUAAUCAGAAAGCCACGGCUAACUACGUG
rnacentral:rRNA from 1 species